rnacentral:tRNA from 1 species
GCCUGGGGGGCUCAGUCAGUCGAGCGUCCGACUUCAGCUCAGGUCAUGAUCUCGCGGUCUGUGGGUUCGAGCCCCACGUCAGGCU